CUUAGUCACAUGAAAUUCAUCCCAAAAGCAAUCAAAACCUUCCGAGGUGCCGAAUCUAGCGACAAAAAAUCUAGGGAAACCCACGAGUCACUUAAACAACCUAAACGGAUACCCUUACUUUUUAAACCACAAGACUGCAAAAAUCUCACGCCAGUAUGAUUUCGUGCUCGGAUCAUAUCCUUCUCGAUAUAGGGCAAAUGCAACAAACCGGAUAUUUCUGCCAAAGUAGGAGUCAUUUCACAUUCCCCAAACCUGAAUACCAAACCAAUCGGAUCCCAAAAGGUCAACAAAGCCUCUAUUAAAUCUGGAUGAGGGGUAACAUGCAGAAGUUCC
rnacentral:lncRNA from 1 species